rnacentral:rRNA from 1 species
UAAUCACUUUAUCAUUACUUUGAAUAAAAUAGAGUGUUUAAAGCAAACAUUAAGUUAAUGAAUAUUCAAGCAUUGGGACAAUGCUGAGGGGAUGUCUUCGGACAUUUCGAGAGAAGGAUUAAAAGGAACAAUUGGGGUGAUUCAGAAAAUAACGGGAGAGGUGAAAUUCCAUGAUCGCUAUAAGAUGCACGAGAGCGAAAGCAUUUCACUCAACUGGGUCCAUUAAUCAAGAACGAAAGUUAGGGGAUCGAAGACGAUCAGAUACCGUCGUAGUCCUAACUAUAAACGAUGUCAACCAAGGAUUGGAUGAAAUAAAGAAAUUCGCGGAUGAAGAAACAUUGUUUCGGAAACCAAGAGUUUCACAACUACCUUGUUCAGAACUUAAAGAGAAAUCUCGAGUUUAUGGACUUCAGGGGGAGUAUGGUCACAAGGCUGAAACUUAAAGGAAUUGACGGAAGGGCACACCAGGAGUGGAGCCUGCGGCUUAAUUUGACUCAACACGGGAAAACUUACCAAGACCGAACAGUAGAAGGAAUGACAGAUUAAGAGUUCUUUCAUGAUUUAUUGGGUAGUGGUGCAUGGCCGUUCUUAGUUGGUGGAGUGAUUUGUCAGGUUAAUUCCGGUAACGAACGAGACUGAAACCUAUUAAUUAGUUUCCUGCCUAUACGACAGGAAUCUCCGCAAGGUCAGGUGCCUCGGUACCACUUCUUAAAGGGACACAUUUCAAUUGUCU